rnacentral:rRNA from 1 species
AGAGUUUGAUCAUGGCUCAGAAUGAACGCUGGCGGCGUGCUUAACACAUGCAAGUCGAACGAGAAAGUCCUGGCUUGCCAGGGCAAGUAGAGUGGCGCACGGGUGAGUAACGCGUGGGUAAUCUGCCUUCGAGAUAGGGAUAACAUUGCGAAAGCGAUGCUAAUACCUGAUAAGCUCACAGUUUCUAAUAGAUAGAAGCAGUGAGAAAAGGUGGCCUCUGAUUUAAGCUAUCACUUGAAGAUGAGCCCGCGUACCAUUAGCUUGUUGGUGGGGUAAUGGCCUACCAAGGCUACGAUGGUUAGCUGGUCUGAGAGGGCGACCAGCCACACUGGAACUGAGAUACGGUCCAGACUCCUACGGGAGGCAGCAGUGGGGAAUAUUGCGCAAUGGGGGAAACCCUGACGCAGCGACGCCGUGUGAGUGAUGAAGGCUUUCGGGUCGUAAAGCUCUGUCAGACGGGAAGAAUAAGAGCAGUGAAAAUUUUAUUGUUCGAUGACUGUCCGUAAGAGGAAGCACCGGCUAACUCCGUGCCAGCAGCCGCGGUAAUACGGAGGGUGCUAGCGUUAUUCGGAAUUACUGGGCGUAAAGCGCGUGUAGGCGGAAAUGAAGGUCAGAUGUGAAAGCCCUUGGCUCAACUAAGGAAGUGCAUCUGAAACCAUAUUUCUUGAGUACAACAGAGGAGAGUGGAAUUCCCAGUGUAGAGGUGAAAUUCAUAGAUAUUGGGAAGAACACCAGUGGCGAAGGCGGCUCUCUGGGUUGAUACUGACGCUGAGACGCGAAAGCGUGGGUAGCAAACAGGAUUAGAUACCCUGGUAGUCCACGCCGUAAACGAUGUGCACUAGGUGUUGGGAG